rnacentral:lncRNA from 1 species
AGGAAAAAAAAAAAGCGCACUUUAUUUGACCUUCAGUAUUUACAGCAUUCCCGUGAGUUCCCCGCACGCACCAACCCAAAACCUGCACAACUCGAUCACAACACAACUCGAUCUGAGCAUCCCCAUCCUUAUCCUAUGGCCAAAAAUCAAACCACGACACCUGAAAUCCCAACAUGGAAGGCGACGGUGUGGACUCUCGCUUAUUCACAGAAUGCACUAAUCCGAGGCCAGCAACAGAUGCCUAAGUAUCUUCCAUCGCACAGUGCUGCUACGUCUGGAACGGGGGAAUAAAAAGGGGGGGGGGGAGGGGGAAGGAGCCUUCCAAAUGCUUAAGCAAGUUUGCCAUUACACAGGAGAUGACAGAUGUCAGGUUUCAUGGCAAUGAAUUAGGUUAGUCAUACCUCAUGAACAUCACGUACACCGUUAGAAGUUUUACCCCAUACAUUGAGGCAAUGAGAAAAAAUUAUCACGCAAGACGAACGUCACCCGAGCAGCAAAUUUCCUCAAAUGCAUGCACUUUGGCAGUGUAGCCUCCAGCGCAGAUAAUACGGGUGAGAAUGAAGUUCUGGCGUAGGCAACCUUAAAAAAUGCAAAAACGGGCACAACUUGGCGUGAAAGGCAACAUUACAGAAAGGAAACUAAUUGCCCUGAUGUCGCAUUUACAACAGCAUUUUAGCAGAGCAAAAGGGAUUUGAUGCACAGGAAGGGACACUGCGCAGGCGCUGUGCUUCACCUCGGAAGCACACAAGUUAAAAAGAAAAAGGUCUUUAUUGCCAUACGAAGUUGAUGGACAGUCACUGCUACUUCAGCACUUCCACACAGGGCUCCUUAGCACUCAAUUAUAGCUAGCAGUAGAUAUCACGACUAGGACCAAAAACAAACAAAAGAGAGGCAGGAAUCUAAUUGAAACUUGCUUAUUAAGAAGCCCUGAAUUUAUGAUGAAUGGGUGUUUUGCAAGCCCAGUAAACAAGGUAACACUUAUGAAAAAGAAAAAAGAAGAUAAUGAGGAAAUAUAGCACAUCAUUCAUAAAUUGCUUAUCAAUAAAUGAAUUGCCCCAAAUAAACAAGUUUCAGCUAGCAUCUUGUCUACAGCUUCUUUUAUCCGUCUGUUCCAGCUCACGCGACUGAUCGCAAAUGUCCAGCAACUCCUCUUUUUCUACCCCGUCAUAACUAAUUGCCUGUGUAGUGCCACUAUGCAUAUGUCGCACCCUUCUGCACUGUUAAGUGUUGCCAUGAUAAACAUCACUGUUGGUCAAAUUAAUGCACUUUGAUGACAGUCACAUAAAGUGACACAUACUCUGUUCAGGCUGUGGCCAAUGGAACGUCGUCACUGACUCACUAAGCAACACAAAACGGUGCACACGUUAACUUUCCCCAUCAACCUUGGCCAACAAUAAUCGCUUGCGCCAGCUGAAUGGACAAAAGCAAGCAAAAGUACCGUGCUUUUGUUGACUCAAUUGCCAUUGAUAGAAAAUGUGGAUGCAGAUGUUGAGUGUGAGAGAAGAAAAAAAAUAUCCUGCACUGACCACAAGUUGUUUGCAAUGCCAAAUGGAAGAAGACCAACUUAGUCAUGACGAUCGUACAAAACAGAGCUUGUCCAAGCUGGCAUGCAAUAACAAUUAAGAAAUAGAGAGAAAGGAGUAAGGGUGUUUGGACAGAAAACACUUGUGCAAUGUGCACUCAAGAGACUUCACUGAGAGCAUUCACUUGUGGAAACUUCCUACACAACAGUGACACCUGUUGGGUAGACGUUUAAACCUUAAGCCCUGAAGCUUAGAUAGGGGACAGGAGGUGGGUGCAGAGAAAGAUAAGAUUCAGUGCACAUACCGAAGCUGCCUGCUCAAUAACAGCAACGAUGAAGUGACUGGAACCAAACUGUGCACCUUGGUACACCUAGCAAAUUUAUUAAUGUUGCCAAUAAAAGAGGGAGCACUCUUUGCAGAGCAAUAAUAAGCAUGUGGGGCAGAGGUCAAGGGAAGCACAGAAUUUCCUAUGAUUUCCUAGGGGGAAAUGUGAUGCUGCAGUGCGGCUUCACGCAUGGGAAUGUAGGAAAAUGGGGAAUUCGGACUGGCAAGACACCUGCAACGCGUGUCCGGCAAGUGGCAUUCUACCUGCAAAGACAGCUUAGUCUACCAUAACAGCAAUUAAGGCAGCAUUUCUUGUUGCAUUAUUAUACAAAGCUUUGCCAUUAAAACAUAAGUACUCACUCUAAUGUGUACAGUUAUAUCACAAUGCAGCCAGUAGUAUUACCAGCAAAUCACAUAAUUUGUAGAAAAGGUGAGGGGGCCUGGUUUGCAACAAUGUUUUCCGUUUUCUUGCUUAUACCGUAAGUAUAACGAUCACAUUUAAGACCAAGCCACACUCGAGACAAGCCGAACCACCCAUAUCCCAGCAUUCCCAUGAAGGCACAGCGCUCGUUAGGAAACUUGUACAGACGGCGGCACCAGAUUUCCCCCUAGGUACCACUGUAACAAAUUCUUUCAAAGGAAGAGUGUUUUAACCAUGGGUGCCCCAAGUGCCCACAUAGUUGUACUGACAGACACAAUACGCAUGACAACAAUUAAAACAGGCAAUGUUCGAAAGGGAGAGAGAAAAAGAAUGAACUUGUGACAAAACGUGGUGAGAACAGUAACACGAGAUGAGAUGGCAAAAAAAGUCGCAGCAGCUUCCUGGAACACCGAACUUUCCAGUGACUUGGCUUUAGAAAAAUAUGCACUGUGAACUCAGUAAUGCUUUGACGAAAACUCACUCACGCGAGUGCACACAUACAGAAGGUACAAGACUGUCGCGCUCCUGUACAAUGCGCAAAGAAAACAAAUGAAACAAACACUUUUCAGGCAACAGAUCUAACACAAACCUUGAGGGACAUGGCUGGUGCACAAUUUACUGCCAUCAGAACCCUCCUGUCGUUUGACAUGCAUGAACUUUCACACCUUUGCAGCUGCUCACAAAUGUUUCUGGACCCCAGAAGCCACUUAAGAAAUGUUCCUCAUCAGGCCAGCGAUUGACAGGUGCAAGGCUUGAGUUCUACUUGUAGCCACCAAAGUGCACCUAGCGAUUCAUGGCGGCCUCAAGAAAAAUUGGCUCGUUAUGGCUUCCGUGUCACCGAGACUCCUGUGGGCAGCCGUGCCUCAACAGUAUGCAACCAAGAAUAAGCAUCACCCGCAUCCUCGUCGACACACAAGGUGUGGCAGUCUAUGAAGACAUCCUUAGUGUCACUCUUAAGAAACAGCAGUCAAGCACCAACAGGGAAUGAGAAUAAGAAAGUGGAACGUAGUUUAAUUGAAUUAGAGGUUAAGAAAAAGACAAAUGAAAUAAAAAUCAAGCUGUGUCCUCCUUUGGUAACACAGACAACACAAGAGAUGAAAAAGAAAGGACGCUCAGAUGAAAGCAGAGAGGGAAAAAGAAGAAAGAAAGAAAGAAGGUGAAAGUUGCAAAAUACAAACGCUAUUGUGUUUGCAUUGAACGUCUGCUAUGCGGGCCUGACCGAAGGGCAGCUUGCUUUACAGUUCCGGCCGUCUAAUGGUGUGUCUGUGUUGCCAACGGGCAACAUCAGCAGUGGUAAGUCACCGGCGAACCGGACCGGCUGUGGGUUUCAACCAUCAGCCGGAUGCUGCAUACAUCAGGAACUCAGACGAGCAGUGUCUAAGUGUAUGGCCCUUCGUCUGCUUCGAGACUGUGCCAG